rnacentral:rRNA from 1 species
UGUAGCAAUACACCUAGCGGCGGACGGGUGAGCAAUACAUAGGAAUCUACCUCUUAGUGGGGGAUAGCCCGGGGAAACCCGGAUUAAUACCGCAUGAUGUCGCAAGACCAAAGCGGGGGACCGUAAGGCCUCGCGCUGAAAGAUGAGCCUAUGUCUGAUUAGCUAGUUGGCGGGGUAAGAGCCCACCAAGGCGACGAUCAGUAGCUGGUUUGAGAGAACGAUCAGCCACACCGGAACUGAGACACGGUCCGGACUCCUACGGGAGGCAGCAGUGGGGAAUAUUGGACAAUGGGCGAAAGCCUGAUCCAGCAAUUCCGCGUGUGUGAAGAAGGCCUUCGGGUUGUAAAGCACUUUAGGCAGGGAAGAAAAAAUCGGAGUGAAUAACUCCGGUCUUGACGGUACCUGAGGAAUAAGCACCGGCUAACUCUGUGCCAGCAGCCGCGGUAAUACAGAGGGUGCAAGCGUUAAUCGGAUUUACUGGGCGUAAAGCGUGCGUAGGCGGUUCAUUAAGUCGGUUGUGAAAUCCCUGGGCUUAACCUGGGAACUGCAGUCGAUACUGAUGAACUAGAGUGCGGUAGAGGGUGGCGGAACUCCGGGUGUAGCGGUGAAAUGCGUAGAUAUCCGGAAGAACACCGAUGGCGAAGGCAACCACCUGGGCCUGCACUGACGCUGAGGUACGAAAGCGUGGGGAGCAAACAGGAUUAGAUACCCUGGUAGUCCACGCUGUAAACGAUGAGAACUUGACGUCGGUUCGCCUAGCGAAUCGGUGUCGUAGCUAACGCGAUAAGUUCUCCGCCUGGGGAGUACGGCCGCA